GCUUCUAUGGUGGAAUGGUAGACACAGCAGACUCAAAAUCUGUCGCAACUUUAGCAUAAGGGUUCAAGUCCCUUUGGAAGUA
rnacentral:tRNA from 1 species